GAUGAAGAACGUAGCGAAAUGCUAUAAGUAAUGUGAAUUGCAGAAUUCAGUGAAUCAUCGAAUCUUUGAACGCACCUUGCACCCUUUGGCAUUCUGAAGGGUAUGCUCGUUUGAGUGUCAUUGUACUCUCACACUCCCGAUCUUUGCAUUGGGAGCAGUGGACUUGGGUUUGCUGCUUCACCGUCGCUUACCUCAAAUAGGUUAGUGCAACUCUUGGUUGGACAUAGUACGGCGUGAUAAGUGUUCUUCGCCGGUGCCUCGCAAAGAGGGUGGCCGAUCGGGAUGUUGUGCUCCAAACCGUCUUCGGACAAUCUCUGACGACUUGACCUCAAAUCGAGUAAGACUACCCGCUGAACUUAAGCAUAUCAAUAAGCGGAGGA
rnacentral:misc_RNA from 1 species